GAGAAAUGUGUAUCUAAUGUUAGAGCUUGUAGCAAAUUAGGUAGCUCAAGCAACAAGGCAAGACAAAAUUGUCUAAAAAUCCCACAAAGGUAAUGCAGCCAAAGCCCUGCUACAACAGCAGUUUCCUACCCUAGAGCAGGCAACUGUCAGCAAACGAACACUUUGGGCUUGUCUAUACUGGCAAGUUUCUGUGCAGUAAAGCAGCUUUCUGCGGUGUAACUCCCGAGGUGUACACACUGCCAAGCCACUUUGUGCGCAGAAACUCCUCAGUUGCAGCCUUGCAAAAAUCCACCUCGACGAGAGUUGUAAACCUUACAGAGCAGAGGCUCCAGCGCUGUAUUGGCAGUGUAAACACAUUACAGCACAGAAAGCAGUCAAUUAGCCUCUGAAAAUGUCCCAUAAUCCCUCAAGUGGCUGCUCUGCUCAUUGUUUUGAAUUAGGCUAGCUGCCCUGGAGACAUGCACCCCUCCCCUUUCAAAGCUCUGUUUCUGACAGUCCUUGCGUGCUGUGCUGAUCUGCUCUGGGACACAAAGCGAACCAUUAAUGUGGAAUGCCCGUGCUGUUGAACACAGAGGCCGAGGUGUGUGUGUGUUGGUUGCUUCCUGCCGCUGUCUGAACUAACAUGACAGCAUGCUGACACACUCUGUGUCCUCCAAAACACACACUCUCUCUUCCCCCAUCCAUACACACACACACACUCUGUUACACACUCUCCCCACCUCCACUUCAAGUUGAAAAGCAGCUGGCAAUGUAGUAGGAUGCCCAUGGAACAAUGGGAUUGGGAAACCUGCAUCAUGUGACGCUGUGCCUGCCCCAUGAGGCAUUGCAAACCCUUCCCAAAGCACCCUGCGGCCAAUUGCACAGUGCGAUAGCUACCACAAUGCACUGCUCUCUUUGUCGUUGCAAGAGCUGCUAACAUGGAUGCGCUCCACAGUCACAAGGAGUACAGUGUGGACACGCAACAGUGGUUUAAUUCUAGCUCGUUAAUAAAAGUGGUAUUAUUGGAUUAAAGUAAUAACUAAUUAAUACAUUUCUGUUAUGGGAAAAUGUGACAAAGAAUGAUUCCAGAACAGACCCCGGAUUUGGCCUGACCAUUAGAAAGAAAUAUGUCUCUCAGCCAGCCUGCUGAGUCUGUGCUAAUUGAAACAUGCCUAUCAGUUUACACGGUCUGUGUUAAUUGUAGGAGAACAUCCCAAGACAGAAAGUCUGUUCUAAAGUGAUAAGAUAACCAUUAAGGACAGCUGUUGUUUACAACUUUGUUUUCUGGAGCUCAGGAAUAAGAUUUGUUAAACACUCCCGCCCCCCCGCUUGCAUUCCUAUCUUGCUUGUUUAUAUGUAACAAGUAUUAUGAAUGGGCUUAUUGAAGUCUGUCAUGCCCCAAUUAUUUUAGAAUGGUUAUGUUCAAGAAUGAAUAGGUAAUAAAAUGUAAAUGUAAUAAGAAAAUAUGUUAAGUGAAAUAGUGUGUGAUUGCAGAUGUAUGUUUGGAUGAGUAAUAAAAGAUUGAGGUGCCAGCCUUAAAAUAAGAAAAACAACUAUUCAGGACCAUUUGGCCGAAGAAUGUGCUGGGUGAGAUGGCCCAAUAACCCUGAGGGCACACCAGAAUCUAUCCACAAUCGCCCCAAGGACAAGCGAGGCUGAAGAACUGAAGAACAAGAUAACAACAAGAUGUCACUGCUGUGCCAUCUGCGUGAUGGAUUAUCACUUCAAACAUGAGAACAGCAUGACAAGGCAAACCCCAUAAACUUGUAUGAGGAUGAAUCCCUAUUAAGAUGGACCCUGAGGACUUUGGGUCUGGAUUUGCAACCAACUUCCAGGAGCAUCGGAUGCGCAUCUGACAAGGCCCUGCUCGAUCCUCGUGUUCAUGCCACCUAGGCAGUGACUUGGCAGGAGCAACCCCUAGGCUGGACUCCAAGCUGUCAAAGAAGACUUGGAAGUGUAUAAGAAUGUCUGGGGUCCUGAUCCUUUUCAUCUCAGACCUGCUUGAUGCUUCAUGCAGGGGAAGAGUAAGUCAUAAGAUUGAGAUCUCCAAUCCUAACCUGGAAUCACCAUGAAUAUAAACAUUGGACUAUAACCUAUGAACUAUUUCUGAAAGAACUCUUUGCAACUACAAAGCUCACCAUCUCUACUAUGAAUCUGAAUCUCAAGAAAACUGUACUCAUGUCUGUAUGUAUACUGAUCUUUUAACCAAUGCUCUAUCUUUUCUUUUUUAAUAAAUUUUAGUUUAGUUAAUAAGAA